AUUGAACGCUGGCGGCAUGCCUAACACAUGCAAGUCGAACGAGUGGCGGACGGGUGAGUAAUGUAUGGGAACCUGCCUGAUGGCGGGGGAUAACUACUGGAAACGGUAGCUAAUACCGCAUACCAUCAGAUGUGCCCAGAUGGGAUUAGCUAGUUGGUGGGGUAACGGCUCACCAAGGCGACGAUCCCUAGCUGGUCUGAGAGGAUGACCAGCCACACUGGAACUGAGACACGGCCCAGACUCCUACGGGAGGCAGCAGUGGGGAAUAUUGGACAAUGGGGGAAACCCUGAUACAGCCAUGCCGCGUGUAUGAUGAAGGCCUUCGGGUUGUAAAGUACUUUCGGCAGGGAAGCGGUACCCGCAGAAUAAGCACCGGCUAACUCCGUGCCAGCAGCCGCGGUAAUAC
rnacentral:rRNA from 1 species